UACGGAGGGUGCAAGCGUUAUCCGGAUUUAUUGGGUUUAAAGGGUCCGUGGGCGGACUGAUAAGUCAGUGGUGAAAUCCGACAGCUUAACUGUCGAACUGCCAUUGAUACUGUUAGUCUUGAGUAAGGUUGAAGUGGCUGGAAUAAGUAGUGUAGCGGUGAAAUGCAUAGAUAUUACUUAGAACACCAAUUGCGAAGGCAGGUCACUAAGUCUUAACUGACGCUGAUGGACGAAAGCGUGGGGAGCGAACAGG
rnacentral:rRNA from 1 species